rnacentral:misc_RNA from 1 species
UCAGGAAGCCUUCCAGAAGUUCAUUGGACAGCCAGUAUCAGUAUUUUGCUCGAGUCGAACUGAUGCUGGAGUACAUGCUUUAUCAAAUGUUUGCCAUGUAGAUGUUGAAAGGAUAAGCAAAAGGAAACCUGGUGAUGUGUUACCUCCUCAUGAACCUCUGGUGGUAAAAAGAGCUGUGAACCACUUUUUACAGAAGAACGCGGGUGAUAUAAUGGUUAUUGACGUUCGGUGUGUUCCAGACGAUUUUCAUGCCAGAUACAAAGCUCAAGAACGCACGUACUUCUACCGAUUG